CAGCAGGCAUCCAGUACACAGUUGCAUAGUGGACUUCUGGAAGAAAAGAAAAGGCGAUAAUAACAGGAUGCCAUUUAACUGAUUUGCCGAUACACUUUUUCCCAGGUUUGCAAAUGCUGGUUGCAACGAUUCGCCACUACCUCAUGUGCUGGGAUUGUCACUGCAUUUGCAAGGCUAACUGACACAUUUCGGAGCAAGCCUUGAAUCAAGAGACUUUCACAAUUUCCCCCUGGAAGACUGUAACGUGAUACCUGCUGUUUGCGCGGAUGAGUUUCACGUUUUAGAUUAAAGUUUCCUCAUAAUUUCA